UGAGCAAGCCGAGAGCACCCAUUUUGGCUGGGGGUUCAGAUCGAUGGCCUUGUCCAUGUUGUCCUUUCUGGCUUCCCUGAUGGUGUCAUGUUUCAGCGCAUGCGCCCCAGCCUUUCCCAUGUGCCAAACCAGAAGCUCCACUGCCCGUAGGCUGUCCCUGUAGCCCUGCUCCCUCCCUGGAGGCUGCUCUUCUGAUUCUGAGAGCUGGCCUAGUGGUGCUGAGGGCCCCUUUCUGCUUCUCUGCCCACCUGCUGAGUUGCCACUCGCAGUGUUGUCAGUUCCCGUGUUCUGAGAAGAGGUCAUGCCUGGGAGGAAGGGAUCGUCAUGCUGCAUCGAAUCCUCUCUCCGCCGUGUGGCCCCCAGGAGAGUAGCUGCCUGUUGCACCUGCUCCACACCUCCCCACAGCCUCCCUGCAGGUGCUGUGUGGCCGUGAUGUGCAGAGAGCAGUGAGGGAGGGUUCAUGAACCAGGUGAUCCUCC
rnacentral:lncRNA from 1 species